rnacentral:rRNA from 1 species
AUGCGCGCGCAUCGCCCGCCGCCGCCGCCGGGCGGUUCCCCGGCGCCGGCGCCCUCUCCGUCCCCGUACCCGUCGCCAAUGCCGUCCCCGACAGCGGCAUUUCAGGGUGGGCUCAUCAGCUCGCCGCCUUCUCCCUCUGCGGUCGCGUCGCCUGGAUCGGCACCCGUGCCUGCGCCAGCGCCGGAGCCUAAUGCGGUGCUCGCGUACACGGGCGCGCGGCGAGGCGGGGGUGGCAUGAGCCCGCCGCUCAUCGCCAUGCUGGCGGUGGUGGGGGCGGCGCUGCUGGUGGUGCUCUACGCGCGGCUGGCCAGGCGCGUGGUCCGAGCCGUCCGGCAGCGGUGGCGCGGUUGGAGGAGGCGGCGGCGGCUGCUGAUGCUCCCGCUCGGCUCCCCGGCGAACGACUCCUUCGCGUCCUUCACCACCUACGACAACUUCUACCACACCUUCUCGCCGUACGGCCUGGACGACGCGGCCAUCAAGUCGCUGCCCUCGGCGCAGUUCCUCAAGGCGGAGGCCGCGCGCGCGAGCGCCGGCGCACGCGACUGCGCCGUGUGCCUGCUUGAGUUCGCCGACGGCGACGAGCUCCGCGCGCUGCCGCUGUGCGCGCACGCCUUCCACGCCGACUGCAUCGACGUCUGGCUCCGCGCGCACGCCUCCUGCCCGCUCUGCCGCGCCGCCGUCGCGCUCCCGCCCCCCGUCUCCUCCCCGCUCCGCUCUGCCCGACGCGUUCGCCCCAGCCUCGACGACCUCCUCUUCUUCCACCCCGUCCCGCCGCCUCCCCAAAACGACGCCGGCGCCCUGCCGGAGAUCACCCCGGCGAGUCCCGAUCAGCUCAACCCGAGGGACUUCCUCCUCAAGCGCUCCUACUCCUUCGGCUUCGAGCGCAACAUCGCCACGGAGGCCGCGUCCACAGCAUCCCCUUCCUGGCGCUACCGCUUGGGCGGCGGCGGCGGCGAAGGCGCCAGCGGCCGAGGCCGAAGCUUCUGGAGCAAGCGCUGGCCGUCUCCAUUCGGCGGCGUCGGGGGCUCCGCGGCGGCCGCAGCCCGUGUCUUCUCGUUCCGCUCGGCCGCGGGCAAGUCCUCCCCCUUCGCCCGCCGCCGCGCCGGCGCAGCCCCCGCAGGAGGCGGGUUUUUCAUGUCCCUGUCCUCCGAGCCCCCGUCCAUCGCCGCGGCGAGGCGGAGCAACCGCGCGUCGAGCCGGCUCCGGUGCGGGGACCCCGAGGCGCUGCUCUCGCCGGACCGUCUCAGCCGCUGA